rnacentral:rRNA from 1 species
GAUGAACGCUGGCGGCGUGCCUAAUACAUGCAAGUCGAGCGAACAGACGAGGGGCUUGCUCCUCUGACGUUAGCGGCGGACGGGCGAGUAACACGUGGAUAACCUACCUAUAAGACUGGGAUAACUUCGGGAAACCGGAGCUAAUACCGGAUAAUAUAUUGAACCGCAUGGUUCAAUAGUGAAAGACGGUUUUGCUGUCACUUAUAGAUGGAUCCGCGCCGCAUUAGCUAGUUGGUAAGGUAACGGCUUACCAAGGCAACGAUGCGUAGCCGACCUGAGAGGGUGAUCGGCCACACUGGAACUGAGACACGGUCCAGACUCCUACGGGAGGCAGCAGUAGGGAAUCUUCCGCAAUGGGCGAAAGCCUGACGGAGCAACGCCGCGUGAGUGAUGAAGGUCUUCGGAUCGUAAAACUCUGUUAUUAGGGAAGAACAAAUGUGUAAGUAACUAUGCACGUCUUGACGGUACCUAAUCAGAAAGCCACGGCUAACUACGUG